rnacentral:lncRNA from 1 species
AAGAAUGGGGUAAUCAUAGUGGUGGGGAUGGAGACUAUAUAUGGUACCAACAGGAUGCCUCCCACUUACAAAGGCUGAUCUUGCUAAUGCUGCUGUCAAAUGUCCAACCUGCCAACAACAGAGGCCAAUGAUAAGUCCCUUAAUUAGAUCAACCAGUCACUUGGUAGCAGGUCAAUUACAUUGUACCCCUGCAAGUUAAUGAAUGAAAUUAAGGGAGUGUUUCAUUUUGACAGUAAUAGAUACAUAUUUGGAUAUGGAUUUGUCUUUCUGCCCACAGAGUCUAAACCAACUCCAUUACUCAACGGUUUACAGAGUGAGCCACCACUGUAAUCCAUUUGGGUAUCUCUUAACACUCCUAUGCCCAGUUCUGGUGGCAAAAGGACAUGUGCAGCAACCCUGGCCUGAGAAGGGCUGCGCAUGCUAAUCAACAGCCUGCAAAACAUCUCUGCCUUUCACUUUGAAAGGGCACACUUGGUGGUGUUUUAUUUCAAUUGAUUCUCUUUGUAUUCAACUGCAUAUUAUAAUAUCACAGAAGAUAUUGACAGAAUAUGACAGAAGGUCAUCGAUGCAAGAAGUGGCUGCUGCCUUUCCUUUCAGUUGGAGCAAUGGUGGUGAGGGGGAGGAGGAACAAAGGGGCUUUCUAGGGUGCCUGGUAAGUGUGCAAGGAAGAGAAUGUCUAGGAUAGCUUGGGUAAGUGUGGGGCUACACUGGGAGAUUGCACUUUGAGCAAUAAUAACAAAAAGUGCCUGGUGGCCAAGCUUCA